GUGUCAGCAGCCGCGGUAAUACGAGGGGGGCAAAUGUUGUUCGGAAUCACUGGGCGUAAAGGGAGCGUAGGCGGGUGUUUAAGUUAGGUGUUUAAUCCUGGGGCCCAACCCCAGUCGUGCACCUAAAACUGGACAUCUUGAAUAGUGGAGAGGUCAGUGGAAUUGGGGGUGUAGCGGUGGAAUGCGUAGAGAUCCCCAAGAACACCAGUUGCGAAGGCGGCUGACUGGACACAUAUUGACGCUGAGGCUCGAAAGCAUGGGGAGCAAACAGGAUUAGAUACCCUGGUAGUCC
rnacentral:rRNA from 1 species